rnacentral:tRNA from 1 species
GGGGGUAUGGCGAAAUUGGUAGACGCAACGGACUUAAAAAAUCCGUUGACCUUACAAAGUCGUGAGGGUUCAAGUCCCUCUAUCCCCA